rnacentral:rRNA from 1 species
GAUGAACGCUAGCGGCAGGCUUAAUACAUGCAAGUCGAGGGGCAGCAGUUUCGUAGCAAUACAGAAGCUGGCGACCGGCAAACGGGUGCGGAACACGUACGCAACCUUCCUUUAACUGGAAGAUAGCCCACCGAAAGGUGGAUUAAUACUCCAUAACAUAUUGAAGAGGCAUCUCUUUGAUAUUAAAGCUCCGGCGGUUAAAGAUGGGCGUGCGUCUGAUUAGGUAGUUGGCGGGGUAACGGCCCACCAAGCCUUCGAUCAGUAGCUGAUGUGAGAGCAUGAUCAGCCACACGGGCACUGAGACACGGGCCCGACUCCUACGGGAGGCAGCAGUAAGGAAUAUUGGUCAAUGGACGCAAGUCUGAACCAGCCAUGCCGCAGGGAGGAUGAAGGCCCUCUGGGUUGUAAACUUCUUUUCUUUGGGACGAAACCCCUGUUUCUACGGGGACUGACGGUACCAGAGGAAUAAGCACCGGCUAACUCCGUGCCAGCCGCCGCGGUAAUAC